rnacentral:rRNA from 1 species
CCUACGGGAGGCAGCAGUAGGGAAUAUUGGACAAUGGACGCAAGUCUGAUCCAGCCAUCCCGCGUGAAGGAUUAAGGCCCUCUGGGUUGUAAACUUCUUUUCUUUGGGAAUAAAAAGCGGUAUUCAUAUCGCCUUGAAGGUACCAGAGGAAUAAGCACCGGCUAACUCCGUGCCAGCAGCCGCGGUAAUACGGAGGGUGCAAGCGUUAUCCGGAUUCACUGGGUUUAAAGGGUGCGUAGGUGGUCUGUUAAGUCAGCGGUGAAAGCCUAGAGCUCAACUCCAGAAUUGCCAUUGAUACUGACGGACUUGAAUCAAGUUGAGGUGGAUGGAAUAUUACAUGUAGCGGUGAAAUGCUUAGAUAUGUAAUAGAACACCAAUUGCGAAGGCAGUUCACUAAGCUUGCAUUGACACUGAGGCACGAAAGCGUGGGGAUCAAACAGGAUUAGAUACCCUGGUAGUCCACGCCCUAAACGAUGCAAACUCGACAUUAGCGAUAUACAGUUAGUGUCCAAGCGAAAGCGUUAAAGUUUGCCACCUGGGAAGUACGACCGCAAGGUUGAAACUUCAAAGGAAUUGACGGCGNGAGAGNGCGAGGACGACGACGAGGGAGGAGG